rnacentral:rRNA from 1 species
UACGGGGGGGGCAAGCGUUGUUCGGAAUUACUGGGCGUAAAGGGCUCGUAGGCGGCCAACUAAGUCAGACGUGAAAUCCCUCGGCUUAACCGGGGAACUGCAUCUGAUACUGGAUGGCUCGAGUUUGGGAGAGGGAUGCGGAAUUCCAGGUGUAGCGGUGAAAUGCGUAGAUAUCUGGAGGAACACCGGUGGCGAAGGCGGAUCUCUGGGCCGAUACUGACGCUGAGGAGCGAAAGCGUGGGGAGCGAACAGG